GCUGGAAAGGAAGGAAAGCCCAUUAGCCUGGCGCUGCUCUCACACUCGUCAAUGGACCUGGGAACACUGCAGGUCCCCACCCCAUGCUCUGAGACACAGACAAAGUGAGAACCGACAAGGUGAGAACGGGACUACCAUCGGGCUGCAGACCCGAAGCAUGUCGGCUGUGUGACCCAGACGGUCCCCUAGCCUCUCCGUGCCUCAGUCUCCCCAUGUGACAACGGAGACUGUGCCAGUUUCAAGAGCCUCCCAGGUCAUUCUGAGGAUGGAUUAAACCACACAGAGGCAAAAGUGCGUAACAAAUACAUGGAAGGUACUGGACACAUGUGAGCGGUUAGGUUACUCUGCGUGAUAGAGAAGAGGCCCCAGUGUCCAAGACGGAGGCCUGGUGAGAGGGGAGAACUGGGUCAGGAAAAGCAAGAAAGACUUCAUCUCUGGAGGUGGGAAGGGACCCUCGGAGUCAGGUUUCUUGGAGCCAGAACUUCCAGCGACUGUGUCCUGUUACUCUGACCCAAAGGGCCAUUUGUCCACUGGAGUCUGAAGAACAAUUUCCCACAGAUGGAGAAAGGAGGCAGUCAUCGGCUGGCUGGGGGCCUGGCCAGUGUGCGGAACGUGGGAGUCCAUGGCUGCCUUCACCACCCAUCCAAUAAGCUGGCCUCUGGCAUGAUCGGCCCCAAAACCGAAAAGCAACUCUCCCCAACAGCACCCUGGGGCUGCCGGCGCCACCAGCUCCACCUGGGGAAGCUUCCAUUUCACCGGCUGCAAAUCUCCACAUCUGCCUUAUUUUAUGCUCGAUAUAGCUGGCACUCCCCGACUCCCUCCGCCAGCUCAUGGGAAGUGUGCUGAGUCUGAGGAGCCAAUCAAUCAGUGAAACAGUAUUUACUGAGUGCCUACAGCAUGCAGUGUGCCAUGCCAGAAAAGCUACAACCACUUUAAAGACCUGUUUUACAGGGGCCUCUGUUCUGGCUGGAUGGGAGCAAUCAAAGUGCAAAAUCUACCACUCCCAGGUGGGAUGGACUGGUGCCCAGUCAACGCUACGGGCGCUCAGAGGAGGCAAUCACUGUCGCAGUCACGGAAGCCAGUUGAAGGAGGCAGUCCCUAAAGGGUGGGCGGACUAGGGGCAGAUGGAGGAUGAGAACACUCCAUGCCAGGUGAAAGUGCAGGUGGUAAGGGCUUGGGAGUCACAGACCCAAACAGGACUCCUGGCUCCAGCUUAUCCUGGUGGUGUGAGCUUGCAAACCUCUCGUAUGCAGAGUGAGAAUAUCAUCCCCUUCCUAUUGGACUGCUGUGAGAAUUAGAUUGGAAUAAGCUAUGUGAAAUGGGUGGCCAGCUCCAGGCACUGCUUGCUGGAAAGGCACUUCCCGGGCAGCUGUUCUGUGCCAGGGCCUGUGCGGACUAUGCUGACUCCAGGAAUCAGCCCAGCCCCUGCUCUCAAGCUGCUCAGGCUCAUGGGAAGAAACAGAGGCUCAGGGCUGAGACAGGGCAACCCGCAAUUAGGCAGGGUAGGGAUGCCCACGGGAAGGUGAGGGGAGGGGACAGACGCCUCCCUGAGGAAGGGCAUCUCCUUCGCUUAUUCCUCCACAAACCCAAGUGAACACCUGCGUAUUCAGUGCCAGGCCCUGUUCUCCGAGCUGGGGAGACAGUGGUACACCUCACUGGCAAAGACCCUGCCUUCACAAAGAGUAGAUUCUUACAGGAGACACUGACCUUCUGUAAGCAACAAAUGACGUAACUUCAGUUGCUGACAUGCGCCACGAAGAAAAAUAAGGCAAUGUAAAGAGCCAGAAAAUAACCGGGGAGGGCGCGGGCAGCGAAGGUGUCUUGGAAGAGGUGGUGUUUAAGCAAAAACCCAAAUAAACAGGGGGAGGGAGCAACAUAACUAUCUGGGGAAAGAACGUUCCAGACAGACAGAACAGCAGGUGCAAAAGCCCCGGAGUGGGAAGGAGCCUGGCCAGCCAAGGAGGAGCACGCUGGCCGUGUGCUACAACAAAGCCAGACCAGCUUGAGAGCUGGGGACGACUCAUACCAGGAGGCUACGGAGGAGCGGUGAGAAAUGGUCCAAUUUGAGAUGUGUUGAAGGUGGCAUUGACAGGCCUUGCUGGGCUUUGAAGAAUGAGUAGGAUUUUGAUAAAUGGGGAACCAGAAAGGUGUGCAUGAAGAAAAAGGUAGGAACAGACACCGCCACGUAUUACUAACCAAGAGACAGUGCAAGGAGCUGCAGGGGGGUCCGAAUGAUUUACGUCCAGCAGCUGCCUGGGUCCUUCACACUGUGGAGAGUGGGCCUGUGCCUCCUGUCCCCUGGCGCAGCCCCACAUGGAACCAGGUCAGGGCUCCCAAGGAAUGGGCACACUGAGACACACAGCAUCGCCCAGCUGGGCCAUCACAAAGCUUCGCCGGGGAACGGGGCUAGCCCCGCCUACGGCCACUAGGUGGCGCUCCAGGCUGGUUCAGAAGCUCUGGGUUCGCCGGUGAUGGCUGAAACUUUCAUCCAAAUACUCACUCUGACUUUUCUUCAA